AUUAGUCUGAAGAGGUACUGAACCUGAGGCUUUGGCCAAACUCCAGAGCUGAGGACCCAGCUGAGGACCUGUUGCUGCAGCAUGUCAAGAAUAGGUGGACUGGGCCAGUUGAGGGUUGCCUGCCCCUCAAACCUCUUUCAUCUGCUCCUUUUUCAGUGGCCCUUUUCCCGGUUCCUGUUCUUUCAAGAGCCAGCAUCUGCCAUGGCCUCUUUUCUCAAUGGCCUGGCCAGCCUGGUGAUGCUCUGCCGCUACCGCACCUUCGUGCCAGCCUCCUCCCCCAUGUACCACACCUGUGUGGCCUUCGCCUGGGUGUCCCUCAACGCAUGGUUCUGGUCCACAGUCUUCCACACCAGGGACACUGACCUCACAGAGAAAAUGGACUACUUCUGUGCCUCCACCGUCAUCCUACACUCAAUCUACCUGUGCUGCGUCAGGACCGUGGGGCUACAGCACCCAGCUGUGGUCAGUGCCUUCCGGGCUCUCCUGCUGCUAAUGCUGACCGUGCACGUCUCCUACCUGAGCCUCAUCCGCUUCGACUAUGGCUACAACCUGGUGG
rnacentral:sRNA from 1 species